rnacentral:rRNA from 1 species
UACGGGGGGGGCAAGCGUUGUUCGGAAUUACUGGGCGUAAAGGGCUCGUAGGCGGCCAACUAAGUCAGACGUGAAAUCCCUCGGCUUAACCGGGGAACUGCGUCUGAUACUGGAUGGCUGGAGGUUGGGAGAGGGAUGCGGAAUUCCAGGUGUAGCGGUGAAAUGCGUAGAUAUGUGGAAGAACACCCGUGGCGAAGGCGGUUUUCUAUUUUACUCCUGACGCUGAGGCGCGAAAGCAAGGGGAUCAAACAGG